rnacentral:rRNA from 1 species
UACCAGCUCUCCGAGUGGUAGGGAUGAUUAUUGGGCUUAAAGCGUCCGUAGCUGGCUUAGCAAAUCUCCUGUUAAAUUCAGCGACCUAAUCGUUGAUCCGCGGGAGAUACUACUAGGCUAGGAGGCGGGAGAGGUCGACGGUACUUUCGGGGUAGGGGUGAAAUCCUAUAAUCCCGGGAGGACCACCAGUGGCGAAGGCUGUCGACUAGAACGCGCUCGACGGUGAGGGACGAAAGCUGGGGUAGCGAACCGGAUUAGAUACCCGGGUAGUCCCAGCUGUAAACUAUGCGAGCUAGGUGUUGGGGUGGCUACGGGCCACUUCAGUGCCGCAGGAAAGCCAUUAAGCUCGCCGCCUGGGGAGUACGGCCGCAAGGCUGAAACUUAAAGGAAUUGGCGGGGGAGCACCACAAGGCGUGAAGCUUGCGGUUC